rnacentral:rRNA from 1 species
GUGGGGAAUUUUGGACAAUGGGGGCAACCCUGAUCCAGCAAUGCCGCGUGCAGGAAGAAGGCCUUCGGGUUGUAAACUGCUUUUGUACGGAACGAAACGGUCCUGGUUAAUACCUGGGGCUAAUGACGGUACCGUAAGAAUAAGCACCGGCUAACUACGUGCCAGCAGCCGCGGUAAUACGUAGGGUGCAAGCGUUAAUCGGAAUUACUGGGCGUAAAGCGUGCGCAGGCGGUUUUGUAAGACAGGCGUGAACUCCCCGGGCUCAACCUGGGAAUGGCGUUUGUGACUGCAAAGCUGGAGUGCGGCAGAGGGGGAUGGAAUUCCGCGUGUAGCAGUGAAAUGCGUAGAUAUGCGGAGGAACACCGAUGGCGAAGGCAAUCCCCUGGGCCUGCACUGACGCUCAUGCACGAAAGCGUGGGGAGCAAACAGGAUUAGAUACCCCUGUAGUCC